GUUUGAACAUGGCCUCGAAACGGCAACAGGAGUCGGGAGCGGAGAAAAGAAAGAAGAAGAGGAAGCGUGAUGAAACUCAGGCGUCGCUUGCCGGGUCAAUGCUUAAAUAUGUUCAAGGAGGAUCUCAAGGACAGGAUGAACCAUCCAGUAGUAGUGCCAUCCCUGGACAUCAACCACCAGCCAUUGUAGACCCUGCAACAAUCCCUAGCCAAGAAGAACAAGAACCAUCAACCACCAGUUCAGGUAGGUGGAUUGUCAUUUGUGUCCAGAACAUGAACAAUAACACUGGCAGUGCCAGAACGAGCAGGUGUUCCUCCAUCUACAGCUCUCUGAAAUCAGCUUUGUGGCCUCGCAAGGCAGUGACGCACGGAAUGACAUCCCCAAACACACACACAGGCGUACGAGCAGCACUGCGUGCUUUAUCCUGAAAACAUCUCUCAUUCAUCAGGCAUGUCUUCAAAAGCCAGUUCUUUGUUUGUUUUAUAAUAGUAAAGUAUUAAUUUCAAAUAUUAGUCUUUAUAACAAGGGAAAAAAUCAUGGAGGAUAAAACAAUCUACUAUCUGUAAGUUAGCAUGUCUUUAUUUUAUUUACAUGCCACUAGAUGAUUUAAAA
ensembl:lncRNA